rnacentral:rRNA from 1 species
CCUACGGUGGGCAGCAGUGGGGAAUAUUGCACAAUGGGGGAAACCCUGAUGCAGCGACGCCGCGUGAGUGAAGAAGUAUCUCGGUACGUAAAGCUCUAUCAGCAGGGAAGAAAAUGACGGUACCUGACUAAGAAGCCCCGGCUAACUACGUGCCAGCAGCCGCGGUAAUACGUAGGGGGCAAGCGUUAUCCGGAUUUACUGGGUGUAAAGGGAGCGUAGACGGCAGCACAAGUCUGGAGUGAAAUCCCGGGGCUUAACCCCGGAACUGCUUUGGAAACUGUGCGGCUGGAGUGCAGGAGGGGUAAGCGGAAUUCCUAGUGUAGCGGUGAAAUGCGUAGAUAUUAGGAGGAACAUCAGGGGCGAAGGCGACUUACUGGACUGUAACUGACACUGAGGCACGAAAGCGUGGGGAGCAAACAGGAUUAGAUACCCCUGUAGUC